rnacentral:rRNA from 1 species
GACGAACGCUGGCGGCGUGCUUAAUACAUGCAAGUCGAACGGAAAGGCCCUGCUUUUGUGGGGUGCUCGAUUGGCGAACGGGUGAGUAACACGUGAGUAACCUGUCCCUGUCUUUGGGAUAACUUCUGGAAACUCGGGCUAAUAUCGGAUAGGAUCUCUUGCUGCACGGUGGGGGUUGGAAAGUUUCGGCGGUUGGGGAUGGACUCGCGGCUUAUCCGCUUCUUGGUGGGGUAGUGGCUUACCAAGGCUGUGACGGGUAGCCGGCCUGAGAGCGUGACCAGGCACAUGGGGACUGAGAUACGGACCAGACUCCUACGGGACGCAGCAGGGGGAAGUAUUGCACAAUGGGCGGAAGCCUGAUGCAGCAACGCCGCGUGCGUGAUGACGGCCUUCUGGUUGUAAACCGCUUUCGCCUGUGACGAAGCGUGAGUGACGGUAAUGGGUCAAGAAGCACCGGCUAACUACGUG